CCAUCUGAUAAAGUUACAGAAGGCAUCUCAGAUUCACAACAAGCCUCACCAGCCCCCCACUGAAUAACACAUCGUCUGGCAACAGGAGGCGUUUGAUUACAUUUGGAAGGAAUGCCUGCAUCAACUCCAGUUGUCCCUGGAUUGCAACUGAUGGGCCUCACGUGCUGCAGCCAACAGUUUGCCUUCACCCACUUCCCUCUAGGCAAUGAACCUUUCUCUGGGAAAACAAGAAACCUACGUGCCAUCCUGAGUGAGAGACAAACAGGGGCUGUAUCCCAGCAUCGCAUCCCAGGCGGGAGUAACUGAGUAAGUUCCCUAUAAUGUUGAU